rnacentral:rRNA from 1 species
UAGACUUCAGUUUGCUCGGACUCUCUACCCUUUGUGACCAUAUUGUUGCUUCGGCGGCUCGUUCUGCGAGCCCGCCGGUCCAUCAGUCUCUCUGUUUAUACCAACGAUACUUCUGAGUGUUCUUAGCGAACUAUUAAAACUUUUAACAACGGAUCUCUUGGCUCUAGCAUCGAUGAAGAACGCAGCGAAACGCGAUAUGUAGUGUGAAUUGCAGAAUUCAGUGAAUCAUCGAAUCUUUGAACGCACAUGGCGCCUUCCAGUAUCCUGGGAGGCAUGCCUGUCCGAGCGUCGUUUCAACCCUCGAGCCCCAGUGGCCCGGUGUUGGGGAUCUACGUCUGUAGGCCCUUAAAAGCAGUGGCGGACCCGCGUGGCCCUUCCUUGCGUAGUAGUUACAGCUCGCAUCGGAGUCCCGCAGGCGCUUGCCUCUAAACCCCCUACAAGCCCGCCUCGUGCGGCAACGGUGACCUCGGAUCAGAGAUCCGUCUUUCUCCUUUCCCCU